AUGCUUGCCAUGCGCGCCUAAGAAUGUUGAUGCCCAGUGCCCAUGUCAAAGGCCAGGACUACAGGGCUGGGCACAAUCCCAGCACUUUAAAAGCAGAAGAGACCUCUAGAAUUCAAGGUUUAGAGCUCGCAAACUCCCGCGCCUUUCCGCUCCAGCCCACAGUGCUGUGUUAGGCCUAGGUAAACAGAUGACCUCCGGGAAAGGACGUCAGCUGCCCUAAGGCUGCCGAGGGGCGUCGGGCUGUUGCCUCGAGAGAAGGUGGAGAAGAGAGUUCCGUGCCUUUCCUCUGCAACUCGUGCCAACCGAGGACAGUGCGAAAAGCUUGGCCGAGGGUCCCAGCUAAUCUCACCAGGUCGUCCCAUGUGACUGAGCCAAGAUCUCGCGGGAUUUACUAUCACAAAGACAAACCCUCCUGCCACCUCUUCCCAUUGGUCCCCACCUACCUCUUGCCCGCGACUAGUUUCUGGAGGAAAGUGUCCACUAUGGUAUCGAGGAGUUUCACCCUGGAGAUGGUCGUGUCGCCUGGCACAGCUUCCGUAGAUGAACCCUCGGGCCCCUUUUCCGCAGCCUCAUUAUCUUGGCUCACUCCAGCCAUGUUGAAAUUGAACCGCCAAAAUGAACUGGUCCUGCAGCUCCUCCCAACAGGACCUCCGAUUGGAGGCAAGGGAAUGCCCGUCACUGAGCCGGAUGGGGCGGGACAGUUGCCAGAGACAAGUAGUGCCUCGGACAAUUCUCAGGGGAAAAAGCAAAGACCCAAAAGCCAAAGUUUAGGGGCUCAAUAAAAACUUUUAAUUACA